GGGGCCGAAGCUCUAGCGGCAGAGCGUUGGACUUUUAAUCCAAACGGUGAGAGUUCGAGCCUCUCCGGCCCCA
rnacentral:tRNA from 1 species